UUUCUUUUUCUUUCUUUCUUGUUUCCAGCAGCGGUAUCUCCCCGCCGAUGCGGUCCCAGGGCCACCGCGGCACCUGCCCGGUGCUGCCCCGGCACCGAGCGCUGCUCCCGCAAGCCAGAGCCGCCCCGCCCUCGCCCCCUGGAGCGCCCCCCGGUUAGCCCGAGGCAGGAGGUGUUGAGAAAUUUCAGGCAUUUUUAAAACUCGUGGUUGAUGACACAUGGUGAAGCGAGUCUGUGGCAAGAAGCACCAAAACUCAUCUCAUGCUAGCACCUGCUAUGGCUUGCUGCAGUUAAGAUAAAUGUAAAUAAUAAAAAAAACCCUCUUGCUUUGA